GGCCUAAUCCUCAGGGAAUCUAGCAGUGAGAAGGAUGAGAGCGUCACUGGCCAGACAGCAUUUAUUGCCCAUCCCUAAUUGCUCAGAGGGCAGUCGAGAGUCAACCACAUUGCUGUGGGUCUGGAGUCACGUGUAGGCCAGGCCAGAGGUGCUCAGAAACAAUAUGAAGGGGUGACGGCUCAGAAAUCGCUGAGGCGGGAUUUCAAACAGCAGACUGACAGCAUGCUAACAACGAAGACAAUUCCCAU